GACGAACGCUGGCGGCGUGCCUAAUACAUGCAAGUCGAGCGGACCACUUCGGUGGUCAGCGGCGGACGGGUGAGUAACACGUGGGCAACCUGCCUGUAAGACUGGGAUAACACCGGGAAACCGGUGCUAAUACCGGAUAAUCCUUUCCUUCACAUGAAGGGAAGCUGAAAGACGGUUUCGGCUGCCACUUACAGAUGGGCCCGCGGCGCAUUAGCUAGUUGGUGAGGUAACGGCUCACCAAGACAACGAUGCGUAGCCGACCUGAGAGGGUGAUCGGCCACACUGGGACUGAGACACGGCCCAGACUCCUACGGGAGGCAGCAGUAGGGAAUCUUCCGCAAUGGACGAAAGUCUGACGGAGCAACGCCGCGUGAGCGAUGAAGGCCUUCGGGUCGUGAAGCUCUGUUGUCAGGGAAGAACAAGUACCGGAGUAACUGCCGGUACCUUGACGGUACCUGACCAGAAAGCCACGGCUAACUACGUGCCAGCCGCCGCGGUAAAAC
rnacentral:rRNA from 1 species